rnacentral:sRNA from 1 species
AAAAGAUGAAGGGACGAUGGGUGGCUAAUGAAUAACUAAUCUUAUUUUUUACAGAUGAAAUUUAAUUUAAAUUUCACCAACAAUAAAAAUAGGAUUAGUCUGCCCAUUUUCCAUAAUUAACGCUUGUAUUGGUCUUAAUAGGCCAAUAUAACGCUAUUCCAGAAGCUUAUUUUACGAUGUCUAAAAUAAGUAAUGGAGUAACAAAUAUAGCUGUUUCAACAGUUAAUUUGUGUAUAUGUAGCGGUGACUAAUCCUUCCAAAAUACUUGGAGGGAUUUUUUU